UACAAUCGUGACAGUUCUGUACAGGACG
rnacentral:sRNA from 1 species